UCGAGUUUUGACUGGGUUGUAGCUGGCCUUACGAGGCAUUGUGCACGCCCUGCUCAUCCACUCUACACCUGUGCACUUACUGUGGGUUACGGAUUGUGGAGCGGGCUCUUUGCGGAGCUUGUGAAGCGCUUCUGUGCCUGCGUUUUAUAACAAACACUUUAAAAGUAUUAGAAUGUGUAUUGCGAUGUAACGCAUCUAUAUA
rnacentral:misc_RNA from 1 species